rnacentral:rRNA from 1 species
GAUGAACGCUAGCUACAGGCUUAACACAUGCAAGUCGAGGGGAAGCGAUAGAGAAAGCUUGCUUUUUCUAGGCGUCGACCGGCGCACGGGUGAGUAACGCGUAUCCAACCUGCCCAUCACUUGGGGAUAACCUUGCGAAAGUAAGACUAAUACCCAAUGAUAUCUCUAGAAGACAUCUGAAAGAGAUUAAAGAUUUAUCGGUGAUGGAUGGGGAUGCGUCUGAUUAGCUUGUUGGCGGGGUAACGGCCCACCAAGGCGACGAUCAGUAGGGGUUCUGAGAGGAAAGGUCCCCCCAACAUUGGAACUGAGACACGGUCCAAACUCCUACGGGAGGCAGCAGUGAGGAAUAUGGUCAAUGGACGAGAGUCUGAACCAGCCAAGUAGCGUGAAGGAUGACUGCCCUAUGGGUUGUAAACUUCUUUAUACGGGAAUAAAGUGAGG